UUCACUUUAUUAUACGAACCAACCACGCAAGCACACUACAUUAUUAUUAAUCUUAAUGAUGAGUCAACAAAAUAAAAAUAAAAACUCAUCUCCCUUCAAGCUCUUCACUCCCUCUCUUCCCUUCCUGCAAAUCUCAUCUCCCUUAAUCCCUAAACCCCAAUUUCUCUACUCAAUCCAUUUAAACCCAAAAGAAAACAUCAAACGAGAGUAUAAACGGCAGUAUGAAUUAAUCAUCAUCAGUUCAUCAACGAUUCUUGCUCAUCUGAAUUCAACACACAAGCACAGAGCUCUAAACUCAGAAUUGCAGAUUUGAAGAACUAGAAUCAAACCCAGAACAAAACAUCAGAUUGAGAGUAUAAAAGGAAGUAUGAUUAAUCAUUCAUCAGUUCUUCAACGAUUCUUUCUCAUUUGAAUUCAACAGGAAAGCAAGGAGCUUUGAAACUCAGAAUUGCAGAACUGAAGACCUACUAAAGCAAACACAGAACAAAACAGCAGAGUAUGGAGUAUGAACGGCAUUACGGCAGUAUGAAUUAAUCAUAAUCAUCAGUUUCAUCAACGAUCAAUUUAUUCUACAGAAAUAGUAAACACCAUGAGAGUUAACAAUCACUAUUAGCCGAUUCUUCCUCAUCUCCCUAUUCUGGGCGCAAAAGAAUUAGUUCUUUCAAAACUAGAUUGCAAAAAGGUCAAUAACCAUCCUAACCAGCUACUUCGAAGAAGCCUCCUCCUCCACUGCCACAAUAGCAACUCCUUCCGAUGAUCCCUCCUCCGCCGCCGCCGUCGAAGCCGCAGCCUUCCGCUGCUCCUCUUCCUCCUGAAUUUCCUUCAUCGCCUGCUCCUCCAUACUCUUCUCCGCCCUCAAGAUCGGCUCGUAGUAAUCAGGGUUCGCGUCGAGGUACAAUUUCAGGGAGAUGGGAUUUGCAGGAAGGGUAGAGAGGGAGAGAAGAGCUCGAAGGGAGAUGGCUCGUACUAAAAUUAAUAAUGAUGUAGGCUGAAUUGCGUGAUAAAAUGGACGGAAUAAAACGAAAAAUACUAAUGAUGAGUUGGAAAAUUUUUGAUUCAAACCAAAAUGAUAAAAAAUACGACCUUAAGAUAAUAAUAAAAAAGUUAAACUUGAAGGACUUUAGCCCCAACUAAUUCACCGGCGAGACUCUCUGCUCCGUCGUGCUUUCCUCCGCGAGCAUCCCAUCGGCAAAUCAUCGCUAUUCCGUCACGCAGCAAUC
rnacentral:lncRNA from 1 species